rnacentral:rRNA from 1 species
UACAGAGGUCUCAAGCGUUGUUCGGAUUCAUUGGGCGUAAAGGGUGCGUAGGCGGCGCGGUAAGUCGGGUGUGAAAUCUCGGAGCUUAACUCCGAAACUGCAUUCGAUACUGCCGUGCUUGAGGACUGGAGAGGAGACUGGAAUUUACGGUGUAGCGGUGAAAUGCGUAGAUAUCGGGAGGAACACCGGGUGGCGAAGGCGGCAUCCUGGACCGGUAUUGACGCUGAGGCGGCGAAAGCUAGGGGAGCAAAC